rnacentral:rRNA from 1 species
UACAGAGGCCUCUAGCGUUAGGCGGAAUCACUGGGCUUAAAGCGUGUGUAGGCGGACGCCUAAGUGUCUUGUGAAAUCCCACGGCUCACCCGUGGAACUGCUGGGCAUACUGGGCGUCUUGGGCCAUUCAGGGGCAACUGGAACAAGCGGUGGAGCGGUGAAAUGCGUAGAUAUCAUUUGGAACGCCAAUGGUGAAAACAGGUAGCUGGGAGUGUGCUGACGCUGAGACACGAAAGCCAGGGGAGCAAACGGG